AUAUCUUCCUUCUUCCUGCUUCUAACAGUGGCAAGAGAGAGAAAGAGAGAGAGCGGCGGAGGCGAUGGCGAGCGGAGGGAAGGGGCUGAACGCGACCGGGGAGUUCUUCCGGCGGAGGGACGAGUGGAGGAGGCACCCGAUGGUGGGGAACCAGCUGCGCCACGCCACCCCGGGCCUCGGCAUCGCCAUCGUCGCCUUCGGGAUCUACCUAGUGGGCGAGGCCGCCUACAACCGCCUCUACCGCCCCUCCGGCGACCACCACCACUAGAUGGCCGGCCGGGAUCUGUAUCUCCAAGGUAAAGUAGCUGGAGCAAACUUUACCAAGCACCAGUGUUUUUCUUUUACCAGUCUGAGCUCAUAAGGUCAGGCAUGACCAUCAUGUAGUUUGUAAUCAGGGAGACAUGCCCACUUGUCAACCGCUCAUGAAACUCUGCUUAUAUAGCAUUUGGAAAUGACAUUGUUCUUGUAAUACUCAACUCAUGCGAAUCUGUUGUAUGCAUGUUUGAUUUCCGAAGUGUUCAUCUGAAUUCAUAUGGAGCUUCAAUAUGUGAAAUUUUGUUUCA